CAUUAGGUGGCUGAAGGCAAGCACUGGUCUCUUAAACCAUAAAAUAGUAAUAUAGCAAUUACUCCUAAUG
rnacentral:tRNA from 1 species